rnacentral:rRNA from 1 species
CCUACGGGAGUCAGCAGUGGGGGAUAUUGCACAAUGGGGGAAACCCUGAUGCAGCGACGCCGCGUGGGUGAAGAAGUAUUUCGGUAUGUAAAGCCCUAUCAGCAGGGAAGAAAGAAGACGGUACCUGACUAAGAAGCCCCGUCUAACUACGUGCCAGCAGCCGCGGUAAUACGUAGGGGGCGAGCGUUAUCCGGAUUCACUGGGGGUAAAGGGAGCGUAGACGGCCGUGCAAGCCAGGAGUGAAAGCCCGGGGCCCAACCCCGGGCCUGCUCUUGGAACUGGGCGGCUGGAGUGCGGGAGGGGCAGGCGGAAUUCCUGGUGUAGCGGUGAAAUGCGUAGAUAUCAGGAGGAACACCGGCGGCGAAGGCGGCCUGCUGGACCGCGACUGACGUUGAGGCUCGAAAGCGUGGGGAGCGAACAGGAUUAGAUACCCGGGUAGUC